UACUGAGGGAGCUAGCGUUAUUCGGAAUUACUGGGCGUAAAGCGCACGUAGGCGGCUUUGUAAGUAAGAGGUGAAAGCCCAGAGCUCAACUCUGGAAUUGCCUUUUAGACUGCAUCGCUUGAAUCAUGGAGAGGUCAGUGGAAUUCCGAGUGUAGAGGUGAAAUUCGUAGAUAUUCGGAAGAACACCAGUGGCGAAGGCGGCUCACUGGACUGGUAUUGACGCUGAGGUGCGAAAGCGUGGGGAGCAAACAGG
rnacentral:rRNA from 1 species